rnacentral:lncRNA from 1 species
UUUUAAAGAAGAAUUUUAAGUUAUUCCGUCAUAAUCGCUAGUCAUAACUUUUCCAUAUGUUGUCAGCCUAAAAAAAGGAAGAAAAAAACCUUUUACAAGCUGACUAGGAAACGAUUUCCUUCCCUUUUCCGGACAUGAUUAAGAAAAAAUUAUAUAUAGGAAUUACCUUCAAUCCAUGAACAAGAAAAGGGUCAAAUUAAGUCGUGCUCAAAAUUAUGGAGCAAACAGAGGACAGAAUAUCAGAGUUGCAUGUACACAUAAUUUAUGACAUCUUGCGUCGGAUUGGGCUAAAAGAAAAAGCUCGAACUUGCGUGUUGUCUAAAACAUGGAGUUCACUUUGGAGAUCACGACCGGAUGUUA